rnacentral:rRNA from 1 species
CAGCCGCCGCGGUAAUACGUAGGUGGCAAGCGUUGUCCGGAAUUAUUGGGCGUAAAGGGCUCGCAGGCGGUUUCUUAAGUCUGAUGUGAAAGCCCCCGGCUCAACCGGGGAGGGUCAUUGGAAACUGGGAAACUAGAGUGCAGAAGAGGAGAGUGGAAUUCCACGUGUAGCGGUGAAAUGCGUAGAGAUGUGGAGGAACACCAGUGGCGAAGGCGACUCUCUGGUCUGUAACUGACGCUGAGGAGCGAAAGCGUGGGGAGCGAACAGGAUUAGAUACCCCAGUAGUCCCUGUCUCUUAUAA